ACGCAUAUCAUUAGUUUGUUAAUCGUUUAUAUACAAUAUAUAUGUUUUUGUAUCUUCGUAAAACGAAAACGAGAGAUCCACGCGAGAAACGAAUCUCGCGACUCGAUUUAGUUGUUAGUUCACAAAUUAUUUUUGUUUUCUUUUUUUUUUUUGGUCUUUUCUUACGCGGUGGUUGCCCAAUCUUUUUAUUGGGCUUGGAAAAAGUACGUGGUUUAAAUUAAAAAAUUAAUUAAUUGAAAGGGUACUUUCGCAAAACAUAGAGACGAAUCGUACUCGGUCCGUGUUAUUAAUCAAUUAAUGGAGAAUAUUUUUAUCAAUGAUCUCUGUAUUUUUAUCACAGAGUCAUCUAACAUCUUGAUGUACUUAUUUUAUCACAGAUUUCUAUAUCUUAUUAUUGCUUUAAAAAGGACUAAUCUCAUAUGAAGAGCAUCGUAACGCGUUAAUUAAUAAUCGAGUUUGAAGGUUGAUAGUGUAUUUAAGAAUGAUAAAUUGAUAUGAUAAGAAUUUAAAACACACGAUGACUUUCGAUUGUGCAACGAGAUAACAGAGAAACGCGCAUGUGUGUUCCACCUGAUGCUGACUUCCGAAAGGCAGCUUUUAUUUCUUCUCCUCGGGAUAAGCAGAAGUUGUUUGAACAGCUAAAUAAAUGUCAGAAUGAUACGCCAAUAGUUUCACAUAAGUCGCUCUUUUCGAUCGGUCGGUUCUAUUAUUAUCAUCUCCGUUACGAACAGAGACAGCUUUACAAGCGAACGGCGCCGAUAUCGCGUAAAGCGAAUCUUGCGGCGAUAACGUGUCAAUUACGCGUUGAAGUAAUAGAGAGAUUCUCAGCAUUUACGCGAACGCGCCUACAUGUUUCGCGCGUUUCCCUCACGCACAAACGUAACGCCGGAUUGGUCGGGAUUCGCCUUUCAUUGAGGCAGCGCACGCGUAUAGACGUCCGGAUUAUGCAAUCCAAGGUUACGGGGGAACGAGCGUAAAUAGUAAGGUCGUAAGAGUAAGCGAGUUGCAGUGCGAGAGAGGCAACCGACCAAGACACCGAAGGAAUUUAUUUCGACGGUGGUCGGUGGUCGAGGAUGGUUUUUCGCGACUCGUCGAUGCUUUCUCGACGAGGGUGUACCUGAUUCCUGAUCUCGACAUGUGUACCGUAUAAAAGGGUGCUUAAAAAAACUUGGAUGGAAAAAUAAAUUCUGCGACUCUCUCAAGAUAAAACGGAAAUUGAUGCAGAUGGUCUCGAAGGAGACGAUAAGAAGAUAAUAAGAAUGGUUCUUCUAAAGUUUCAAACAAUAAUUUUUCGAAAGUCAGUCAGGUGUUAAUGUUUCAUGAUGAAAACUUUAUAGAUUAAUGCACAUAAUUUGAAUUUUAAUCAUUUAUAUGAAAUUUUCGAUCUGAUUGUUACAGAUUCUAAAGGGAUUUCGACAAAUUUAAUUUAUGUAUAGGAAUCGGAUAGUUUCUAUUUUGCAUCUCAAAGCGGUUAGUUGUGUGUUAUCAUAUAGAUCAUUUAAAACACAUAUUUUACAUAUUAUUAUUUAUCAAUUAAUAAUAUCAUAAAAUUUAUUUAAUGUGUAAUUUUAUCUUAUAUUUUUUUGUAUUAAAAUUUCAAAUAGCUUAAAUGAAAAAUUCACUAUUAAAAACAUUAUUGAUAUAAAAUAUGUUAAUUAUAAUAAAUAGUAAUAAAGAGAGAGAGAGAGAGAGAGAGAGAGAGAGAAAAAUUUUCACUCAAAUUUACCGUACGCAACAUAAAUAUUUUCAAAUACUUUCGAUGACAAAAUGUACAUACAAAUUAUUCUAAAAAAUAAAACAGAAAUAUUAACAAAUAUAUAUUUUCAGUGCAUUUAUCAUAAAAGCAAAAACAUUUGCAACAACUUAAUCGAAUUUAAACAAUUAUAGCUUAGUAUAUUUUGAUAGAAUGAAAUGAGAGAUAGAAAUAGAGAUCUUCGCGAAAAGAGAAAUAACAUUGAUAAUUGUGCAAAUAUUAUACAAUAUCGCGCAACACUCUAUAUAUAUAUGCGCUAUAAUCUAAAUAAGUCUGCAUAAAUAAAUGAGAGUUCAGCUGUUCGUUAGCCACAUAAUCAACAAUUGUCUUCUGUAAUAUAAUUUUUAUCGCUUGUUUCAAGUGCUGGAACCUUUCCCAGCAGAAAGUUCUUCAGGAACGUCUUGGUCUUGUUGAUCACGCCAAAGAUGAAAUCCUCGGCGAGACUUUAACUCGAGCAUCGGAAAAUUGUGCCGCUAUUAGGGCUUAGGCACAGAAAUUUUCUCAGUACAUAUAUAAGGUUUCAGACGCCACUGUAUCUAACAUAUCCGAGAGUUAACGGGUCACACGAUCGGCGAGCUACGCGGUAAAUAUUAAUAUCAGAAUGUUACGUAAAAAUCGGGGACGAUAUCUGAAGGGUCAGAAAAAACGCAUGCGAGGGUCGCGUCACGUUACUAACAUUUGCGAGAUAUAAAGCUACAAUUUUACACAUAUCCUCGUUAUAUAAAGCGAUUCAAAACUAGAUUAUAUUCAUCGACCCUCUUAGAGAUGAGGGGGAAAAAAAUCACAAAAAUUUAUAAACGCCAAGCAACGGAGCGAUAUUUUCCAAAAAUUAAUCGGGUAAUAAAAUG